UACAGAGGGUGCAAGCGUUGUUCGGAAUUAUUGGGCGUAAAGGGCGCGUAGGCGGUGCGUUAAGUCACCUGUGAAAUCCCCGGGCUUAACCUGGGAACUGCAUUCGGGACUGCAUUGCUAGAGUAUGGGAGAGGGAAGUGGAAUUUCAGGUGUAGCGGUGAAAUGCGUAGAUAUCUGAAGGAACAUCAGUGGCGAAAGCGACUUCCUGGGCCAAUACUGACGCUCAUGUGCGAAAGCGUGGGGAGCAAACAGG
rnacentral:rRNA from 1 species